rnacentral:rRNA from 1 species
AUUGAACGCUGGCGGCAGGCCUAACACAUGCAAGUCGAACGAGUGGCGGACGGGUGAGUAAUGUCUGGGAAACUGCCUGAUGGAGGGGGAUAACUACUGGAAACGGUAGCUAAUACCGCAUACCAUCGGAUGUGCCCAGAUGGGAUUAGCUAGUAGGUGGGGUAAAGGCGAACCUAGGCGACGAUCCCUAGCGGGUCUGAGAGGAUGACCAGCAAAACGGGAACUGGGACACGGUCCAGACUCCUAGGGGAGGCAGCAGUGGGGAAUAUUGCACAAGGGGCGAAAGCCGGAUGCAGCCAUGCGGCGUGUAGGAAGAAGGCCUUCGGGUUGUAAAGUACGUUCAGAGGGGAGGCGUUACCCGCAGAAGAAGCACCGGCUAACUCCGUGCCAGCAGCCGCGGUAAUAC